UACGAAGGGGGCUAGCGUUGCUCGGAAUUACUGGGCGUAAAGGGCGCGUAGGCGGCACUGUUAGUCAGGCGUGAAAUUCCUGGGCUCAACCUGGGGACUGCGCUUGAUACGGCAGAGCUAGAGGAUGGAAGAGGCUCGCGGAAUUCCCAGUGUAGAGGUGAAAUUCGUAGAUAUUGGGAAGAACACCGGUGGCGAAGGCGGCUAUCUGGACGACAACUGACGCUGAGGCACGAAAGCGUGGGGAUCAAACAGG
rnacentral:rRNA from 1 species